rnacentral:rRNA from 1 species
GAGUUUGAUCAUGGCUCAGAAUCAACGCUGGCGGCGUGCCUAACACAUGCAAGUCGAACGAGAAAGUGGAGCAAUCCAUGAGUAAAGUGGCGACCGGGUGAGUAACACGUGACUACCUACCCUCGAGUGGGGGAUAACUCCGGGAAACCGGAGCUAAUACCGCAUAACAUCGAGAGAUCAAAGCAGUAAUGCGCUUGAGGAGGGGGUCGCGGCUGAUUAGCUAGUUGGCGGGGUAACGGCCCACCAAGGCGAUGAUCGGUAGCCGGCCUGAGAGGGCGCACGGCCACACUGGAACUGAAACACGGUCCAGACUCCUACGGGAGGCAGCAGUGGGGAAUUUUGCGCAAUGGGGGAAACCCUGACGCAGCAACGCCGCGUGGAGGAUGAAGUCCCUUGGGACGUAAACUCCUUUCGACUGGGAAGAUAAUGACGGUACCAGUGGAAGAAGCCCCGGCUAACUUCGUGCCAGCAGCCGCGGUAAUACG